AUGGGAUCGCCGUCUCCGGCGCCGCCGCCGCCGCCGCCCAAGUGGAUUAUGCUGCGCCGCGUUCCGCAAGUGUGCCAUGAUCUCUACGCUGACUUCUCCGUCACGCUCGCCGAGCCCCCGCGCCCCACCGAGCUCGUCGUAUCCCCGCAUCUCGCCCCCGAUGGCGUCUCCGCCGACUGUUUCCCUUUGGUCCACGCCGCCGAUCCGUCCGGAAUCCUCAUCGUCUCCGCCACCUACGACCGCUGCUCCAUGGCCCCUCCCUCCGCCGACAAGCAGGCGGGGGAUUACACGACCAACUACUUCGCCUGGCAUGCCGCCAUCGACUACACCCACCGCCUCCCGCCACAUGAGGACUCUGUAAAGCACACCGGCAACGUCGGCCUCGUCGUCGACGAGUACAAUUUCAUGGUCGCCGAGCUCCUGCCCGCCGGCGACGGCGACCGCGCCAGUCUACUCUGCUAUUGGUCAUAUGAUCGUGAAUGGGUGAAGAAAACUCUCCCCUUUCCCCUCAAAUGCCCUUGGUCUAGUGCCCGUACCUUCUCGCACCAAGGGAAGCUCUGGUGGUUGGAUCUUUCGCAAGGUCUUCUCUGCUGCGAUCCUUUUGCUAAAGAGACGGAGCUCCUCUUCGUGCCAUUCCCUGAUGAUAUAGAUACACACACUCGAGGCAGAGAUGUCGGCAACCGUCGCUGCGUAAAUCUGAGCAAUGGUGCGCUGUGGUUAGCGGAGAUGACUUACCACCGCCGUGCGCUGUUCGUUAAGAUGUGGAAGCUGGGCACUCAAGGGCAAUGGACUCCCGAUUACACAGUUAAGUUUGCGGAUAUCUGGGCUGACAGGAGCUACAAGGAAACUGGAAUACCGAAGAAGAAGCCGGCAUUGGUAGCCAUCAACCCUGAUGAUCCCGAGGUGCUUUACUUCUCUUUGGAGGGUAAUCUCCUCCAAGUUAACAUGUGUGCCAAAAGAGUUGAGCUGUGUGUGGCUUUCAGGCGCCCUACCACAGAUUUGAAAAUAGACCAGGGGUCCUCGCAGUUUAUUCUCACUUGGAAUCUUCCGACAUCGAUAGUUUCAUCAUCAGGUGAUACAAAUGUUGUGUUUUUGCAAACUGCUCGGCAUUACUUGUUACCGUUUGAGUUAUUGUGUUGCUUUGCUGAAUUGAUUUUGUGUGCCGCAAAGUCUAGAUAUCAUUACUCGUCUACAAUGCCAUCCGUUUGUACUGCCCAGAUUACAUGUGAAAUCGAGAAUGUAUUAGUAGCUUGA
rnacentral:rRNA from 1 species